rnacentral:rRNA from 1 species
UACGUAGGUGGCAAGCGAUACUCGGAAUCACUAGGCGUAAAGCGCAGGUAGGCGGUUCGGUAAGUCUUUUGUGAAAGCUCCCGGCUCAACUGGGAGAGGCCAAGGGAAACUACCGGACUAGAGUGUGGUAGGGGAUACUGGAAUUCCUGGUGUAGCGGUGAAAUGCGCAGAUAUCGGGAGGAACACCGGUGGCGAAGGCGGUUCUCUGGGCCUUACCUGACGCUGAGGAGCGAAAGCGUGGGGAGCGAACAGG